rfam:Escherichia hermannii NBRC 105704 DNA, contig: EH10570408.
ACACCAGCAAAAUCUGGUGCAGGGAUUGGCGUCCCGAUAACCUGUAUAGUGCCGACACGCACUAAGCGUGUUUUUU